ACAACUUCAUACACUUACACUUUCAUUCCUUGGGAGAGAACACAAUCCGCCCAUCCACCCAUCCACCCUUCACCAUAACUCACCUAUAUCCAUCCACACCAUAAUUUACCACUCAUCCAUCAAACCACACCUUGUGCCGCAACAAAGAGAAGAAGGAGGACCCUUGGACGUGCUUGCCAUUCAAGUUGGAUUGUUGGAGCGUUUUUAGGUGUUUUCAUUCUUUUGUUUUCAAUGUCUAAAUUUGUUUAUCUUUGCUUUGUGAGUAUGAGGAA
rnacentral:lncRNA from 1 species